AUUGAACGCUGGCGGCAUGCUCUACACAUGCAAGUCGAACGGUAACAGGCCGCAAGGUGCUGACGAGUGGCGAACGGGUGAGUAAUGCAUCGGAACGUGCCCAGUCGUGGGGGAUAACGCAGCGAAAGCUGCGCUAAUACCGCAUACGAUCUAUGGAUGAAAGCGGGGGACCGUAAGGCCUCGCGCGAUUGGAGCGGCCGAUGUCAGAUUAGGUAGUUGGUGGGGUAAAGGCUCACCAAGCCAACGAUCUGUAGCUGGUCUGAGAGGACGACCAGCCACACUGGGACUGAGACACGGCCCAGACUCCUACGGGAGGCAGCAGUGGGGAAUUUUGGACAAUGGGCGCAAGCCUGAUCCAGCAAUGCCGCGUGCAGGAAGAAGGCCUUCGGGUUGUAAACUGCUUUUGUACGGAACGAAAAGGCUCUGGUUAAUACCUGGGGCUCAUGACGGUACCGUAAGAAUAAGCACCGGCUAACUACGUGCCAGCCGCCGCCGUAAAAC
rnacentral:rRNA from 1 species